GAGUUUGAUCCUGGCUCAGAGCGAACGCUGGCGGCAUGCUUAACACAUGCAAGUCGCACGGUAUGGGGGCAACUCCAUGCAGUGGCGGACGGGUGAGUAACGCGUAGGAAUCUAUCCUUGGAUGGGGGACAACCGUGGGAAACUACGGCUAAUACCGCAUGAUGCCUGAGGGCCAAAGCUCGUGAGAGCGUCUGGGGAGGAGCCUGCGUCUGAUUAGGUAGUUGGUGGGGUAAAGGCCUACCAAGCCUGCGAUCAGUAGCUGGUCUGAGAGGAUGAUCAGCCACAUUGGGACUGAGACACGGCCCAAACUCCUACGGGAGGCAGCAGUGGGGAAUAUUGGACAAUGGGGGCAACCCUGAUCCAGCAAUGCCGCGUGGGUGAAGAAGGUUUUCGGAUUGUAAAGCCCUUUUGGCGGGGACGAUGAUGGCGGUACCCGCAGAAUAAGCUCCGGCUAACUUCGUGCCAGCAGCCGCGGUAAUACGAAGGGGGCUAGCGUUGCUCGGAAUGACUGGGCGUAAAGGGCGCGUAGGCGGCUUGUAUAGUUAGGCGUGAAAUUCCUGGGCUCAACCUGGGGACUGCGUCUAAUACAUGCAGGCUUGAGUGUGAAAGAGGGUCGUGGAAUUUCCAGUGUAGAGGUGAAAUUCGUAGAUAUUGGAAAGAACACCGGUGGCGAAGGCGGCGACCUGGUUCAUUACUGACG
rnacentral:rRNA from 1 species